GUGGUUAUGCGUAGGUGCUAAUGUUAUCUUGGUAAAUGUUUGGUGGUUCACCUGCUUCUUGACUCUCAGUGUCUCCGUUACAGAAUACUGACUCCAACAAUGGAGGCAGCAGGAAAACAAAAUAUCUCCCAGAUGGUUGACGAGCCCCUGCUCGUCAACAUCAUGACAAGCUGACACAACUGGGGAUGGCUAUGGAAGAGGUUCAUUACGGCACCCCAUCUAAAUGCCGUGGCUACCUACAUCAGUGCUCCCUCUACUUCACGCAACAGAUGGGAGCCCCCACCACCGAGAGGAUCAAGGUUCCCACGGUUAUUUCUCUGCUGAUUGGGCGGGUGUUGGAAUGGGAGAGGAGGAGCUAGAAUCAUAUGAGGAGUUCAUGGCUCUGUUCAAAUGCAUCUUUGAUCACCCAGAGAGGGGGGUGAGCGCCUCCUCCAAUUACGUCAGGGGGACCAUAUGGCUGCUGAGUACGCACUCACCUUCCGGACAGUAGCAGCAUCCAGCGGAUAGUAAGUUGCUGGACUUCCAGGUAUUUCUCGCACUACCCAAUCCGUCUCUGAAAUGUACUGUGGCGCAGGAUGUCACUCGAUACGCCAAAUCUUGUUCUGCAUGUGCCCAAACCAAAUUCCUCUGGAACGCUCCAGCAGGGAAACUCCUUCCCAUGCCUCAGCAUCCCUGGUGCCAUCUUUCUAUUGUCUUUGUUACUGAUUUCCCCUCUGAUGGUUUCACCACCAUUUUGGUGGUUGUGGAUAGAUAUUUAAAAUCCAGUUUUAAUCCCUCUUUCUGGUCUCCCUACUGCUCUCUAGAUCGCUGAAGCACUAUUCCAGCAGGUCUUCUGGCUUUCUGAAGGACAUUGUCUCUGACCGUGGCCACCAAUUCACGUCAUGGGUAUUGAGAGCCUUUAUGGAAAAGCUGGGGGUCACGGUCAUCCUCACUUCCGGGUAUAGGCCUCAGUCCAAUGGGCAGGUGGUGAGGAUGGACGAGGAGCUGGGGCGGUUCCUGAGGAGUCACCGGCAGGGAGAGUGGGCUCGACUCCUUUCAUUGGCUACGUCACUCCUCCACUGGGUUGAGCCCCCCUUCCAGUGUUUUCAGCCGGCCCUGGAUCCAUGGCCCCCUGACCAGACCAACGCUCCUGCUGCAGAUGGUUCAGGCACGCAGAAGUGUGGCGCGACGCUCACGUGAGACUCCAGCGUGCCGUCCACCAUUAAAAGGAGGACCGCAGUGCAACCCUGUGUACCACCCUGGGGAUCGUGUCUGGCUCUCUAGCAGGAACCUCCCACUCUGCCUGCCCUGCAAGAAGCAGCCCCCGGGCCAAUGGUUCCUGGUCCGUUAGCUGAUGCUGUCCCCCAUAGCACCCCUCCGCACCCUCUGGACAUCAGGGGGUCCAGCCUAUGCCAUCAGAUCUCUACUGGACCCCUGACGUCAUGGGGGUCGGCUCCAAUACCUGGUGGACUGGUACGGGUAUGGCCCAGAGGAGCGGUGUUGGGUUCUGUUGGAGGACAUUCUGGAUCCCAACAUCUGUGAUUUCCACCUUUACCGACCGUCCCUCUGGUCAGCGUUGUCCUGCGGCUGGACCCGUGCGUCGGGGAGGUGUACUGUCAUGUCUACUCCCACUCCUCCCCUCCAGCGUUCGACGUCGCCAGUAUGCUAACCACCGGUCCUGGGAUCAAUCAUCACACACACCUGCACGUCUUGAGGCACACCUCGACUCCAUUACCUCACUUACCUCCCCUUUAUCUGGCACUCCAUUAGGUUCUUUCCCCAGUCAGUAUCGUUCCUGUGUUUAUGCUACUGUUAUGUUUCGUUCCAUGUUUUAUUCAACGUUUGACCUGCACCUCGACUCUCAGCGUCUCGGUUACACUACAACCCAGUAAGCACGAGCUGAUGUCUGGUCUGGACCAAAAGAAGGACAUCUUUUUUUUGUUUUACAAACGGUAGGCUUACCACAUAGAUGGGCAUUCUCAAACAUUUUUUGGUGCAGUUCGGACUGGCCUUGCUUUCCACAUCCACUGCCAUUGGUUCAGAUUUUGUCCGGACCAAAAACCAAUCAUAGACAUCUGUUUGCUUCAAGUUUUGUACGGUCUAGACCAGCCUUGAUUUGGCCCAAACAGAUAACUAGAACCAAAAAAUUGCCUGAUUUCAACAUCUGGAAAAUAUGUGUUUUAGACAUCUUUUCAUUGUCAUUUUGCUUACUGAAAAUUUUCUAGUUUCUGGAAUCUCCUAGGGUGGCAGAACGGCAAGGACCGCCCCUGGUCUGAUUAUCAUAAACUGAACUCUAUUUUGCACCUGAUCCUGCUGCCUUCUGAUACUACAGUCCCUACGACAGAUUAAUGUUUUAUCAGUCUGAGAACCCCAUAGCAUUAAAAUACUGAGGGAGUGGUCUCAGUCUCAUACA